GGGGAUUUAGCUCAGCGGUAGAGCGCUUGCCUAGCAAGCGCAAGGCCCUGGGUUCAGUCCCCA
rfam:Rattus norvegicus chromosome 10, whole genome shotgun sequence.